rnacentral:tRNA from 1 species
AUUUAUGUAGUUUAAAAUAAAGCAUUAUAUUUUCAAUAUAAAAAUAAAAUUUUAUUUUCAUAAAUA